rnacentral:rRNA from 1 species
AGGACGAACGCUGGCGGCGUGCUUAACACAUGCAAGUCGAGCGGAAAGGCCCUUCGGGGUACUCGAGCGGCGAACGGGUGAGUAACACGUGAGUAAUCUGCCCCUAGCUCUGGGAUAGCUCCGGGAAACCGGGAUUAAUACCGGAUACGACCACCUUAGACAUCUUUUGUGGUGGAAAGAAUUUCGGCUAGGGAUGAGCUCGCGGCCUAUCAGCUUGUUGGUGGGGUAACGCCUACCAAGGCGACGACUGGUAGCCGGCCUGAGAGGGCGACCGGCCACACUGGGACUGAGACACGGCCCAGACUCCUACGGGAGGCAGCAGUGGGGAAUAUUGCGCAAUGGGCGAAAGCCUGACGCAGCGACGCCGCGUGGGGGAUGAAGGCCUUCGGGUUGUAAACCCCUUUCAGCAGGGACGAAGCGAAAGUGACGGUACCUGCAGAAGAAGCGCCGGCUAACUACGCGCCAGCAGCCGC